AAUAGAUACCCUGGUAGUCCACGCCGUAAACGAUGGAUGCUAGCUAUUGGGGGGAAUCGACCCCCUCCGAAGCGAAGCUAACGCGUUAAGCAUCCCGCCUGAGUAGUACGAGCGCAGGCUUAAAACUCAAAGGAAUUGACGGGGACCCGCACAAGCGGUGGAGCGCGUGGUUUAAUUCGAGGGUAAACGAAGAACCUUACCAAGGUUUGACAUCCCGGUAGCCGUUCUCCGAAAGGAGAAUUUCAUUUAGUUGGACCGGUGACAGGUGAUGCAUGGCCGUCGUCAGCUCGUGUCGUGAGAUGUUGGGUUAAGUCCCGCAACGAGCGCAACCCUUAUGAUUUAGUUGGAUUUUUCUAAACAGACUGCCCUGGUAACAGGGAGGAAGGAGGGGAUGAUGUCAGGUCAGUAUUUCCCUUACACCUUGGGGCGACACACGCGCUACAAUGGCCGGUACAAUGGGCAGCUAAGCCGCGAGGUGGAGCAAAUCCCAUCAAAGCCGGUCCCAGUUCGGAUUGCAGGCUGAAACCCGCCUGCAUGAAGUCGGAAUCGCUAGUAACCG
rnacentral:rRNA from 1 species